UGGGCAGGUGAGGUGGGCAAGGAGGGAGUGUUACUCCAUUCACUCAUUUCCCUUAAGCUGCUGUUUUCUGCCUGGCAGGGUAAGGACACACAACUCCUUCGAUCUUACUGUUUUUCCUGGUGCCUGUUCCUAUCUCAGGUAGGGCAGAGCAUGGUUCCUCCAGUCUCUCUCUUUCUCAGACUCCCCAGUGCUCCUUAACCUUUCGAGUUCCUCCCACAGCUCUGCUCCUCAUUUGGGCUGAGCACAACACCCACCUCGUCACCCCUCACACAGCUCUUCUCACCAUGCCGAUGAAGACUCUGACACGUCCUUUGUCUGCCUCUCCUGGGAGCUCUGCCAGGGCUGCUACAAUUGUCCUGGUCGGUGCAGGGGACACGUCUCUGCUGAGGGGACACCACAGCCCAGAAGGUCAGUGUGGAGGACACGGACACGGCUCUGCUGAGGGGACACCACAGCCCAGAAGGAAAUUGUGAAGUCCUAAGGAUUUUGAGGUACACCAAAGCUCUUCCAUGGACUCAGAUACUGUUCACCUAAUUUACGAGCUUUUGUCUCAAUUAUACAUACAAACCAGUGCUGACCAAGGGAUGCAGCGAAGCCCUGCCGACAGAGGGACUGAGAAGAAUUCAAAUCACUCAGCAAGUAAGCCAAGUAAGUACUGAAACCAACCUGGAAACCAGAAGCAAUAUUAAAACAGAAAAUGAGAAACCUUUGAGAUCUUCUUUCUAUAAAUUCUCCUUUUGUCUCCAAAUAAUGUGAUGCAAAAUUCUGUGGCUCUGUUUUAUACCUGAGUUCUGGUAGGUGGUCCUCAAGUCAGAAAAAGUCAUCUGCCCCACAAAGAUCUGUCACUUUAAUUGAGGAUAUGGAAAAGCAAUAUUCAAACCUAGCAGAGAAAGAAACUGAACCUAAGGGCUCUUGCAUGUUGGAGAACAGGUAGCGAGAAGCUUGCUCAUCAGGCUAAAGGCUUAUUGGGCUUUAGUCAAAGACAAAUUGGAUUUAUCAGCAAAGUAUUUAUUCUAGAUUAGAGAUUAAAUACGUAGGGCUGCAACAAGAAACUCUUCAUCCAUAAAAGUUGAAGGCUAGAAAUGACGCAAGAAUUCCCUUGUUUUGAAUUUUGUUCCAUCCCUUGAAUUUGAAAUCUGCAGUUUUCCUCAGUUUGCUAGGCCUUGCAUGCUGCUUCUGUUUAGUAUAGCUGGGUAUUGAACCCUGUUGGGCCCCAGUGAUUCAUUACAUUGAACAUUUAUGUAUUAUUACCCUCCUCACUUUUGAUAUGAAGAGCAACAGGUAAGAGCCAACAUCUUGGCUUGUUUCCUAAUACUGACACAGAAGGAAUGUCCAAGCCUGCUGCUUGGAAACUUGAAACUGCAACCACAGGAACCAACCCAGCUUUGUGAUUUCAUCUGCAGUGCAAACACCUUGGAUUAUCCUCAUCUCUUCAGAAACACUUGAAAGAGUGUGCUGACAUAGUGCACAUCGUAGGUAAACUGCAAUUAAAAAAAGAGGCAGAAGGAACAUGAUAUUAGGGUUGAAGAAGCAGGCAAUGGGAAAAUCAGGACUCAAAGGGCUGCUGUGGGGAGUUGGCUUUCGGGGAGCACAAGCAGGAGGGUGCCAUGGAAUAAACUGCCCACACAUACACAUUACACCUACUCUACUCCUGAACUGCAAGGACAUUUUUCAUAUAUGAAACAGGAAAUGAUGUAUUUGGCUAUUCCAGUGAAAUGUCUGAUUGUUCAGUUGAAAAGUAGCACACCUAUAAUAGGAACCAUACCAUUGCAUGAACCAAGAAUAGCAUAAACAGUGAAGAAAAGAUUUACUAAUUCCAGUGACUAGUAUUUCUGCUGUGUGCCCCAAGAGUUCCCAGGCAAUGCAGAAAUUUUGCUGAGGUGGAGGGUCUUCAAAUUACUACUGAUAGUACAACAAGCAUGUGAAAAAAAAAGCCCUGAUAAAGGUAAUGAUGUACCUUUGGUUCACAGAUGGAAGCAAUACAAAACCACCCCAGGACUAAGCCUUGCCAAGCUCUGAAGCACUGCUGCAUUAAGAGGCAAAUGCUAAAGGACUGGUAUAUGUCCUCAAUGGAAAUUGCAGAAAGAAUGUAUAUAUAACUUAUAUAUAUAUAUAUAUAUAAAAACUGCUGAGAAAUGUUCCUCUGUCAAAUAAUGGAAAUAUUUUAAGCGGAAUCCUUUGGGGAGUGG